GUUGUUUCCCCCAGAGUGGGCUCCACCCUUGCUCUAACCGCACAGAGUGUGGAUAUCUCACUGUUUAAAACAAAGUUCAUUUUUAGGGCAGCAUUGCAUCAGAAUUGCCACACAAAAACCAGCUUAAGAAAUUACAGCAACUUCAAUUUUUUUUAAGAGUUGGGGAAGGCUGCAGCCCAAAGUUCUGUUCCAUGCCUUGUCUGUGCCUCUGUGUUCCUCCAGAGUUUGUGACGUGAGUGGUAAGUUGAACUGUGGGAGAAUUGAGUUAUUCAGUGAGGUCCACAUUCAGCAAUUUUUUCUUUGCAAAUGGAUCUUUUUUCCCCCCUCACAUAUUGGUUUUUUUUUUAAUAACUAUGUUUUAAAUGCCUGUGAAGUGUUUAGUUAUGCACUGACCAGAGUAGACAUGUUGAGAGAGAGGCUGUGCUCUGUGAUCUCUUCUGUACUAUUGUCUUCCUCUUGUGCAUGUUCAUCGUGUACCCUUGUGGAACAGACACACCCAUUCAGUAUAAGCAAGUUGAGCCACUUCAGUUGAAAUCAAAGCUGAAUGUUGAAAAUGGCAGAUUUUCAUAAAGCUGGCAGGAGUGACAGUGUGUCAUCCUUUUUGGACUUAGACUUGUGAGCAUUUCCUUGUUUAGCUUCCUCUUUGAAACUUGGUAAUAAUUGUGUUUAGCCGUUUUCAAACAUCACAAGGAUGUAAGAAUAAAGUGGAUGCUUAGUACUAUCAGAUAAAAGCACUAGCCUGGGAAUCAAGGCUAUUACGUUGGACACUGGUUUCUUUACUUGUAAACUUGGAAAUUUGGGUUAGCUGUUAGCUGUUAGAUCUUUUCCAGCUGAGAAUACCCAAAUUCUCUUUGUAAAGACACAUGCCUAUUCCAAAAAUGCUAAAGGGGAUGUAUUGAAAUUGAGGGGAAAAAAUAUUUAGAUGUUAACCAAGAAUCAUUCUUUUAAAGGACAUGAAAGCUAAAGCUUUACUUUAAAUAAACUGUGUAUAUCAGAAAUUUUAGAAGUUUACUCCUUGAUUCUGUUCUGAAAAGAGUUCACUAAUCAUCACCUCAACAAGAAAAUAAAUUUUCAAGUUGUGUUUUGCAUCCCUACCCAAUAUAUAAACCACAUACAUGCCACUUAAUUUCUGAAAUAAGUUUCCCUUAUGGCACAGAAAAUACUCUGUUUUGGGUUCUUUUCCAUUUUUAAAAUGUUGGUUUCAAUCUACUGAGCUAGAUGAUUUCUGCUGUCUUCUUUGAACUGUAGGAGAGUACACUUACUCUUAGAUGUUUUUAUAGUUGCUCCAGAGAAAAACUUGCCAACCACUUUGUUGUUAAAUACUGAAAUCAGGAAAUUUUCUAAAUAGAUUUUAUUUGGAACUUUAUAGAAUGUUAGUAGUUCAUACCUCCAGUAAUACUCUUAUUUAAAAAAAAAAAAAUCACUAAAAAAUCUGAGGCGCCUGGGUGGCUUGCUCAGUUAAGUGUCUCUUGAUUUCAGCUCAGGUCUUGAUCUCAAGGUUGUGAGAUCGAGCCCUCAUGUCAGGCUCACAUGCUGGGCGUGGAGCCUGCUAAAGAAUUUCUCCCUCUCCCUCUGCCACCCCUCUCUAAAAUAAGUAAACAAAUAAACAAACUGAUUUUUUUCUUUUAAUAAUUAUAUAAGGAAAGAGGAGUGAAUUUUUUUUCACCAAGCUCUAUAUAGCUGCCUUCAAAUUUUAUUCCAGUAUACAAGAUGUACGACAAAAUGUCCCUUUCCAAUCCUAAUCCCUGAGCCUCAAUCCCUAGGGGGCAGUUUCUUCUCUGUUUUUCAAAAAAAUAUCUAUGAAUGAGUGCACCAUUUUUUUUUAAACCAAAUUAAAUUAUACUGUGCACACUGUUGUGUAUCUACCCCAUUCUUCUUCUUCUUUUUUAAAUUAUUUAUUUAUUUAUUUGACAG
rnacentral:lncRNA from 1 species